GACGAACGCUGGCGGCGUGCUUAACACAUGCAAGUCGAACGAAGAGCGAUGGAAGCUUGCUUCUAUCCAUCUUAGUGGCGAACGGGUGAGUAACGCGUAAUCAACCUGCCCUUCAGAGGGGGACAACAGUUGGAAACGACUGCUAAUACCGCAUACGAUCUGACCUCGGCAUCGAGGAUAGAUGAAAGGUGGCCUCUACAUGUAAGCUAUCACUGAAGGAGGGGAUUGCGUCUGAUUAGCUAGUUGGAGGGGUAACGGCCCAUCAAGGCGAUAAUCAGUAGCCGGUCUGAGAGGAUGAACGGCCACAUUGGGACUGAGACACGGCCCAGACUCCUACGAGAGGCAGCAGCGGGGAAUCUUCCGCAAUGGACGAAAGACUGACGGAGCAACGCCGCGUGAGGGAUGACGGCCGUCGGGUUGUAAAGCUCUGUUAAUCGGGACGAAAGGCAUUUUUGCGAAUAGUUAGAAGGAUUGACGGUACCGGAAUAGAAAGCCACGGCUAACUACGUG
rnacentral:rRNA from 1 species